rnacentral:rRNA from 1 species
UUGACAGGUUGACCUCGAAUCAGGUAGG